AAACUCAAAGGAAUUGACGGGACCCGCACAAGCAGCGGAGCGUGUGGUUUAAUUCGUUGCUACACGAAGAACCUUACCUGGGUUUGACAUAUAGGUUGUAGGGAACUGAAAAGGGACCGACCCUUCGGGGAGCCUAUACAGGUGUUGCAUGGCUGUCGUCAGCUCGUGUCGUGAGAUGUUCGGUUAAGUCCGCUAACGAGCGCAACCCUCGUCGUAUGUUAUAUGUGUCAUACGAGACUGCCGGUAAAAAGCCGGAGGAAGGUGAGGAUGAUGUCAAGUCAGCAUGACCUUUAUAUCCAGGGCUACACACACGCUACAAUGGUCUGUACAAUGGGUAGCCAAGCCGCGAGGCGGAGCCAAUCCUGAAAGCAGGCCUCAGUUCAGAUUGCAGUCUGCAACUCGACUGCAUGAAGCCGGAGUUGCUAGUAACCGCAGGUCAGCAAUACUGCGGUGAAUACGUUCCCGGGUCUU
rnacentral:rRNA from 1 species